rnacentral:lncRNA from 1 species
GGAUUCUUUUGUUUUCCGUGUCCGGUAGUACUUAGUUUUGCUGGUACAAAACACAUACUGUGGUUUCAUCAAUUAAAUAGUAAAGGGACAGGAUAACACGGAUAAACUAGCUAUCCUUAAAUAAUUAACUUACUUCCCAGUUGAAGAAAGUACAACGGCAUAUCGGUUCUUAGGUUGACAAGUGAAAUACUUUACUUUGUG